GAUGAACGCUGGCGGCGCGCCUAACACAUGCAAGUCGAACGGUUAAAGCACCUUUUAGGUGUGUAUAAAGUGGCGAACGGCUGAGUAACACGUGGGCAACCUGCCCUCCUCUUGGGGAUAGCCUCGGGAAACCGAGGAUAAUACCCGAUACUUCAAUGUGGCCGCAUGACGACAUUGAGAAAGCCUUUGCGGAGAAGGAUGGGCCCGCGGCCUGUUAGCUUGUUGGUGGGGUAGAGGCCUACCAAGGCAAUGAUGGGUAGCUGGGUUGAGAGACCGACCAGCCAGAUUGGGACUGAGACACGGCCCAGACUCCUACGGGAGGCAGCAGUGGGGAAUCUUGCACAAUGGGCGAAAGCCUGAUGCAGCGACGCCGCGUGCGGGACGAAGGCCUUCGGGUUGUAAACCGCUUUCAGCAGGGACGAGGCGAUAAGUGACGGUACCUGCAGAAGAAGCCCCGGCUAACUACGUG
rnacentral:rRNA from 1 species